AGCGUACACGGUGGAUGCCCUGGCAGUCAGAGGCGAUGAAGGACGUGCUAAUCUGCGAUAAGCGUCGGUAAGGUGAUAUGAACCGUUAUAACCGGCGAUUUCCGAAUGGGGAAACCCAGUGUGAUUCGUCACACUAUCAUUACGUGAAUACAUAGCGUAAUGAAGCGAACCGGGGGAACUGAAACAUCUAAGUACCCCGAGGAAAAGAAAUCAACCGAGAUUCCCCCAGUAGCGGCGAGCGAACGGGGAGCAGCCCAGAGUCUGAAUCAGCUUGUGUGUUAGUGGAACGGUCUGGAAAGUCCGACGGUACAGGGUGAUAGUCCCGUACACCAAAAUGCACAGGUUGUGAACUCGAAGAGUAGGGCGGGACACGUGGUAUCCUGUCUGAAUAUGGGGGGACCAUCCUCCAAGGCUAAAUACUCCUGACUGACCGAUAGUGAACCAGUACCGUGAGGGAAAGGCGAAAAGAACCCCGGCGAGGGGAGUGAAAAAGAACCUGAAACCGUGUACGUACAAGCAGUGGGAGCACCUUCGGGUGUGACUGCGUACCUUUUGUAUAAUGGGUCAGCGACUUAUAUUCUGUAGCAAGGUUAACCGUAUAGGGGAGCCGAAGGGAAACCGAGUCUUAACUGGGCGUUAAGUUGCAGGGUAUAGACCCGAAACCCGGUGAUCUAGCCAUGGGCAGGUUGAAGGUUGGGUAACACUAACUGGAGGACCGAACCGACUAAUGUUGAAAAAUUAGCGGAUGACUUGUGGCUGGGGGUGAAAGGCCAAUCAAACCGGGAGAUAGCUGGUUCUCCCCGAAAGCUAUUUAGGUAGCGCCUCGUGAACUCAUCUUCGGGGGUAGAGCACUGUUUCGGCUAGGGGGUCAUCCCGACUUACCAACCCGAUGCAAACUGCGAAUACCGAAGAAUGUUAUCACGGGAGACACACGGCGGGUGCUAACGUCCGUCGUGAAGAGGGAAACAACCCAGACCGCCAGCUAAGGUCCCAAAGUCAUGGUUAAGUGGGAAACGAUGUGGGAAGGCACAGACAGCCAGGAUGUUGGCUUAGAAGCAGCCAUCAUUUAAAGAAAGCGUAAUAGCUCACUGGUCGAGUCGGCCUGCGCGGAAGAUGUAACGGGGCUAAACCAUGCACCGAAGCUGCGGCAGCGACACUAUGUGUUGUUGGGUAGGGGAGCGUUCUGUAAGCCGUUGAAGGUGUGUCGUGAGGCAUGCUGGAGGUAUCAGAAGUGCGAAUGCUGACAUAAGUAACGAUAAUGCGGGUGAAAAACCCGCACGCCGGAAGACCAAGGGUUCCUGUCCAACGUUAAUCGGGGCAGGGUGAGUCGACCCCUAAGGCGAGGCCGAAAGGCGUAGUCGAUGGGAAACAGGUUAAUAUUCCUGUACUUGGUGUUACUGCGAAGGGGGGACGGAGAAGGCUAUGUUGGCCGGGCGACGGUUGUCCCGGUUUAAGCAUGUAGGCGGAGGUUCCAGGUAAAUCCGGUACCUUUUAACGCUGAGGUGUGAUGACGAGGCACUACGGUGCUGAAGUGACAAAUGCCCUGCUUCCAGGAAAAGCCUCUAAGCAUCAGGUAACACGAAAUCGUACCCCAAACCGACACAGGUGGUCAGGUAGAGAAUACCAAGGCGCUUGAGAGAACUCGGGUGAAGGAACUAGGCAAAAUGGUGCCGUAACUUCGGGAGAAGGCACGCUGAUAUGUAGGUGAAGCGGUUUACCCGUGGAGCUGAAAUCAGUCGAAGAUACCAGCUGGCUGCAACUGUUUAUUAAAAACACAGCACUGUGCAAACACGAAAGUGGACGUAUACGGUGUGACGCCUGCCCGGUGCCGGAAGGUUAAUUGAUGGGGUUAUCCGUAAGGAGAAGCUCUUGAUCGAAGCCCCGGUAAACGGCGGCCGUAACUAUAACGGUCCUAAGGUAGCGAAAUUCCUUGUCGGGUAAGUUCCGACCUGCACGAAUGGCGUAAUGAUGGCCAGGCUGUCUCCACCCGAGACUCAGUGAAAUUGAACUCGCUGUGAAGAUGCAGUGUACCCGCGGCAAGACGGAAAGACCCCGUGAACCUUUACUAUAGCUUGACACUGAACACUGGUCCUUGAUGUGUAGGAUAGGUGGGAGGCUUUGAAGCGUGGACGCCAGUCUGCGUGGAGCCAACCUUGAAAUACCACCCUUUAAUGGCUGGUGUUCUAACGUUGACCCGUGAUCCGGGUUGCGGACAGUGUCUGGUGGGUAGUUUGACUGGGGCGGUCUCCUCCUAAAGAGUAACGGAGGAGCACGAAGGUUAGCUAAUCCUGGUCGGACAUCAGGAGGUUAGUGCAAAGGCAUAAGCUAGCUUGACUGCGAGAGUGACGGCUCGAGCAGGUGCGAAAGCAGGUCUUAGUGAUCCGGUGGUUCUGAAUGGAAGGGCCAUCGCUCAACGGAUAAAAGGUACUCCGGGGAUAACAGGCUGAUACCGCCCAAGAGUUCAUAUCGACGGCGGUGUUUGGCACCUCGAUGUCGGCUCAUCACAUCCUGGGGCUGAAGUAGGUCCCAAGGGUAUGGCUGUUCGCCAUUUAAAGUGGUACGCGAGCUGGGUUUAGAACGUCGUGAGACAGUUCGGUCCCUAUCUGCCGUGGGCGCUGGAGAAUUGAGGGGGGCUGCUCCUAGUACGAGAGGACCGGAGUGGACGCAUCACUGGUGUUCGGGUUGUCAUGCCAAUGGCACUGCCCGGUAGCUAAAUGCGGAAGAGAUAAGUGCUGAAAGCAUCUAAGCACGAAACUUGCCCCGAGAUGAGUUCU
rnacentral:rRNA from 1 species